GCGUGGCAGAUUGGAGCGCAAAGCACAGAUUAACAAGAGGCGUAGCAGGGAGCCGGACACCAAAGGGAGAUGGCGAGCGGAACGCCAUAAGAAGGUCAGUUGGCACGCAACAACGGAGGGAACAGUGCCAUUGUUGGUGCUUAUAUGACACUGUGUUUUUGAAGGCGCAAAACAGCUUAUGAAAUCACGUGCAUAGUGGAGCAUCCAUCCCUGAGCAUGUUGGGCAAGUUUUCUAGGUGCCACGGAUGACAGUGGCCACAACAUCCAGUGUUAGACUGGGAACAAGCGACCAGAACGUUAUGGCGCUUUUGGGGAGGCUGUCAUUGCAGAAGAGAUCAGUGUUGACUGGCAUGAAACUGACUGAUGGCAC